GUUUGACGUUUAGCUGCAGAAGAAGCACCGGCUAACUCCGUGCCAGCAGCCGCGGUAAUACGGAGGGUGCGAGCGUUAAUCGGAAUUACUGGGCGUAAAGACGCAUGCAGGUGGUUUGUUAGGUUCAGAUGUGAAAGCCCGGGGCGUCAACCUCGGAAUUGCAUUUGUAAACUAGGCAGACUAGAGUACUGUAGAGGGGGUAGGAAGUUUCAGGUGUAGCGGUGAAAUAGCGUAGAGAUCUGAAGGAAUACCGGUGGCGAAGGCGGCCCCCUCGGACAGAUACUGACACUCAGAUGCGAAAGCGUGGGGAGCAAACAGGAUUAGAUACCCUGGUAG
rnacentral:rRNA from 1 species